UACGUAGGGUGCGAGCGUUAAUCGGAAUUACUGGGCGUAAAGCGUGCGCAGGCGGUUUUGUAAGUCAGAUGUGAAAGCCCCGGGCUUAACCUGGGAAUGGCGUUUGGGACUGCAAGGCUUGAGUGCGGCAGAGGAGACUGGAAUUCCUGGUGUAGCAGUGAAAUGCGUAGAUAUCAGGAGGAAUACCGAUGGCGAAGGCAGGUCUCUGGGCUGACACUGACGCUCAUGCACGAAAGCGUGGGGAGCAAACAGG
rnacentral:rRNA from 1 species